GGCUACUUAGCUCAGAUGGUUAGAGCACAGCACUCAUAAUGCUGGGGUCACAGGUUCAAUUCCUGUAGUAGCUACCA
rnacentral:tRNA from 1 species